UACACUGAGGUGUAUGAUGCACGUUAGUUUUUGAUACUAAAAGUAGCAGUUUAAUUCUGCUUUGUGUAG
rnacentral:tRNA from 1 species